rnacentral:rRNA from 1 species
UACCAGCACCCCGAGUGGUCGGGACGAUUAUUGGGCCUAAAGCAUCCGUAGCCGGCCUUACAAGUCCUCCGUUAAAUCCAGCUGCUUAACAGAUGGGCUGCGGAGGAUACUAUAAGACUAGGAGGCAGGAGAGGCAAGCGGUACUCAGUGGGUAGGGGUAAAAUCCGUUGAUCCAUUGAAGACCACCAGUGGCGAAAGCGGCAAACUUGACCCUUCCUGACGCUGAGGCGCGAAAGCUAGGGGAGCAAACGGG